AGUUUCAAAGAACUUGCGCAGCGGGAGAAGACCCAAACAUAAAGACGCAAGUGGCUCGAAGACCCGCAAGUUGUUUUCCUCAUACUCCCUCGGUUGUGUGUCCCACCCCCUAUUUGGGAAACGAAGUAAUAAGGGAGUCCAUUGCUUCGUAACUAUAGGUAAGAGACCCGCAGUGCCUCUUGUCUCAGUCCCAACGUGAUUUGGCAGGGAGGGACUAGGAAAACCCGCUGGGCGCCAAGUGCUGGGGCUAGCUGUGAAGUAAUUGUGGACGGUAUUUUUCAGGACAUCAAACACAGACGUAAAAAUUAUACAAAAUGUAGUAAAAGCACGCAACGUGCCUGGUACUAUGCAUGGAAUAGUAAGAUGAGUCCAUUCAGAUGUUAGCCUACAGUAGUGGAAAUUCAAUUUGUAGGAAUAAAGGGCUAGACUUCUAAUAGGAUACAUCCUCGGAAAUGACAAGACAGGGAAACUUAAUCUGAUGAGGCUAGGAUUAGCCAUAUGUGGAAAAUUACCCCGUGUGCACCCAACUCAUAGAUGUUUUAUAAAUGCAUUACUGCCUAGACUUUGUCCGCACACUCUAAAUGCCCCAAAAGGGAAGAUAUUAUGUAUAAAUAUGGCAAAUGUAAAAUAAUCUAUAAAGAUCAAAAGUAAUAUGGCUUUUGUGAAGAAAUGUAGAUGACGAGAUUUUCGUGAUUAAUAGAUUUUUGAAAAAGAUAAGAAAUGCCAGUGUGGAAGAGGAGUUGCUAUGGCUAAUAAACAUGAAAAGAAUUCAGUCUGAUUAUUAAUCUGGGA
rnacentral:lncRNA from 10 species